rnacentral:rRNA from 1 species
GACGAACGCUGGCGGCGUGCUUAACACAUGCAAGUCGAACGAACAGGCCCUGCUUUUGUGGGGCGCUCGUGUGGCGCGCGGGUGUGUAACACGCGAGUAACCUGCACCUGUCUGUGUGAUAACUUCUGGAGACUGGGGAGCAUACCGGGUAGGAGCUAUUGAUGCAUGUGGUGGGAUAGAAAGAUUCGGCGGUUGGGGCUGGUCUCGCGGCUUAUCAGCCGGUUGGGGGGGUAGUGGCUUACAAGGGCUUUGACGGGUAGCCGGCCUAGGAGGGUGGCCGGCCACAUUGGGACUGAGAGACGGCGCAGACGCCUACGGGAGGCAGCAGGGGGGAAUAUGGCACAAUGGGGGGAAGCCAGAGGCAGCAACGCUGCGUGCGUGAUAACGGGCUUCGGGUUGUAAACCACUGUCGCCGUUGACGAAGAGUGAGUGACGGUAAUGGGUAAAGAAGCACCGGCUAACUACGUG